AUACGGAGGGUGCAAGCGUUACUCGGAAUCACUGGGCGUAAAGCGCGCGCAGGCGGCUAUUUAAGUUGGAUGUGAAAGCCUACGGCUCAACCGUAGCACUGCAUCCAAAACUAUUUAGCUAGAGUGUGGGAGAGGAAGAUGGAAUUAGUUGUGUAGGGGUAAAAUCCGUAGAGAUAACUAGGAAUACCAAAAGCGAAGGCAAUCUUCUGGAACACUACUGACGCUGAGGCGCGAAAGCGUGGGGAGCAAACAGGAUUAGAAACCCUAGUAGUCC
rnacentral:rRNA from 1 species